rnacentral:rRNA from 1 species
GACGAACGCUGGCGGCGUGCCUAAUACAUGCAAGUUGAGCGAUGAAGCUUGGUGCUUGCCCCAAUUUGAAGAGCAGCGAACGGGUGAGUAACGCGUGGGGAAUCUGCCUUUGAGCGGGGGACAACAUUUGGAAACGAAUGCUAAUACCGCAUAAUAACUUUAAACAUAAGUUUUAAGUUUGAAAGAUGCAAUUGCAUCACUCAAAGAUGAUCCCGCGUUGUAUUAGCUAGUUGGUGAGGUAAAGGCUCACCAAGGCGAUGAUACAUAGCCGACCUGAGAGGGUGGUCGGCCACAUUGGGACUGAGACACGGCCCAAACUCCUACGGGAGGCAGCAGGAGGGAAUCUUCGGCAAUGGACGAAAGUCUGACCGAGCAACGCCGCGGGAGUGAAGAAGGUUUUCGGAUCGUAAAACUCUGUUGGUAGAGAAGAACGUUGGUGAGAGUGGAAAGCUCAUCAAGUGACGGUAACUACCCAGAAAGGGACGGCUAACUACGUG